rnacentral:rRNA from 1 species
UACGUAGGCAGCAAGCGUUGUUCGGAGUUACUGGGCGUAAAGGGUGUGUAGGCGGUUGGUUAAGUUUGGUGUGAAAUCUCCCGGCUCAACUGGGAGGGUGCGCCGAAUACUGAGUGACUCGAGUGCGGGAGAGGUGAGUGGAAUUCCUGGUGUAGCGGUGAAAUGCGUAGAUAUCAGGAGGAACACCGGUGGUGUAGACGGCUCACUGGACCGUAACUGACGCUGAAACACGAAAGCGUGGGUAGCAAACAGG